rnacentral:rRNA from 1 species
UGGGGAAUUUUGGACAAUGGGCGAAAGCCUGAUCCAGCCAUGCCGCGUGCAGGAUGAAGGCCUUCGGGUUGUAAACUGCUUUUGUACGGAACGAAAAGCCUCUUUCUAAUAAAGAGGGGUCAUGACGGUACCGUAAGAAUAAGCACCGGCUAACUACGUGCCAGCAGCCGCGGUAAUACGUAGGGUGCAAGCGUUAAUCGGAAUUACUGGGCGUAAAGCGUGCGCAGGCGGUUUUGUAAGACAGAGGUGAAAUCCCCGGACUCAACCUGGGAACUGCCUUUGUGACUGCAAGGCUGGAGUGCGGCAGAGGGGGAUGGAAUUCCGCGUGUAGCAGUGAAAUGCGUAGAUAUGCGGAGGAACACCGAUGGCGAAGGCAAUCCCCUGGGCCUGCACUGACGCUCAUGCACGAAAGCGUGGGGAGCAAAACAGGAUUAGAUACCCCUGGUAGUCCACGCCCUAAAACGAUGUCAACUGGUUGUUGGGGUCUUCACUGACUCAGUAACGAAGCUAACGCGUGAAGUUGACCGCCUGGGGAGUACGCCGCAAGGUUGAAACUCAAAUGAAUUGACGGGGUCAUAGCUGUUUCCU